rnacentral:rRNA from 1 species
UGCCAGCCGCCGCGGUAAUACGGAGGGGGUUAGCGUUGUUCGGAAUUACUGGGCGUAAAGCGCACGUAGGCGGAUUAGUAAGUCAGAGGUGAAAUCCCAGGGCUCAACCCUGGAACUGCCUUUGAUACUGCUAGUCUUGAGUUCGAGAGAGGUAAGUGGAAUUCCGAGUGUAGAGGUGAAAUUCGUAGAUAUUCGGAAGAACACCAGUGGCGAAGGCGGCCACCUGGCUCGAUACUGACGCUGAGGUGCGAAAGCGUGGGGAGCAAACAGGAUUAGAUA